rnacentral:lncRNA from 1 species
GGAAAGAAAGUGACUGACUCUUCCCUUGUGAUGAUAAAUAGAUGGCUUGCUGAAGCCAUGAUAGAGACCGAAACUGUUGGGUCGGGUUGCUACCUAACCAUGAUUGUAUCCUUUUUCAAGCCUAAUAUUGAAAGGUCCCUGAGUGGUUCAUUAAGUAAGCAAGCAUUGAUGCUAGGACAAUGAAAAAUGCACACUUAAUUGGUUGCGACAGAGAGAAAGGAUCUACAGUUGGAGUCACUAAUUUCAAGUUGCCUAACAAAAGACUGGGGAUUUACCAUGUAGGCAAAACUAACUGGCGGGAAGAAGGAAUUUUAUUUCUAGCCAAGAAGAUCAAGAGAGGACAAAGAAUAGAAGAAGGCUCAUCAGCAACUCUAGAAAUACAAAUGCCACCACCUAGAUCAAGCUACUGGUAGACGAAGUUUCAGAAAGCACCAAGUUAUGAGGGAGUCCAUGAAGGAUGGCAGCAGGAAUAGUGCUGGAGGCACUGACAGAAGCAUGGGCACAAGGCCCUUAUGCACCACAUAUCCAACAGCCGGCGUAUCCAGUACGACCAAAAUUUCAGCAACCAGCACAUCCACCUCCACUGGCACCAUAUGCUUUUCACGGGUAUAUGCCACCUCCUUUUCAGGAACCCCC